AACGAACGUUGGCGGCGUGGAUUAGGCAUGCAAGUCGAACGAAUCCCAGUGGGGGUAACUCUGCUGGGGGAAGUGGCGAAAGGGGCAGUAAUGCGUGGAUAACCUGCCCCCGAGACGGGGAUAGCCCUUCUAACGAAGGGGUAAUACCCGGAGACCUGGCGAGGUGGCAUCAUCUUGCCAGCAAAGGAGUUUCGCUCGGGGAGGGGUUCACGUGCUAUUAGCUUGUUGGCGGGGUAACGGCCCACCAAGGCUUAGAUGGCUAGCGGGUGUGAGAGCACGACCCGCGCCACUGGCACUGAGACACUGGCCAGACUCCUACGGGAGGCUGCAGUCGAGGAUCUUCGGCAAUGGGCGCAAGCCUGACCGAGCGACGCCGCGUGCGCGAUGAAGGCCUUCGGGUUGUAAAGCGCUGUCGAGGGGGAGGAAAGCCCGCAAGGGUCUGACCUAUCCCUGGAGGAAGCACGGGCUAAGUUCGUGCCAGCAGCCGC
rnacentral:rRNA from 1 species